GAUGAACGCUAGCGGGAGGCCUAAUACAUGCAAGUCGAGCGGUAGAGUGACUUCGGUUGCUUGAGAGCGGCGAACGGGUGAGUAACGCGUACACAAUCUACCUUUAAGAGGGGAAUAGCCCUGGGAAACUGGGAUUAAUGCCCCAUGGCAUCACGAAGUGGCAUCGCUUUGUGAUUAAAGCUGAGGUGCUUAGAGAUGAGUGUGCGUCUGAUUAGCUAGUUGGUGCGGUAACGGCGCACCAAGGCGACGAUCAGUAGGGGGCGUGAGAGCGUGGACCCCCACACGGGUACUGAGACACGGACCCGACUCCUACGGGAGGCAGCAGUAAGGAAUAUUGGUCAAUGGAGGAAACUCUGAACCAGCCAUCCCGCGUGCAGGAAGAAUGCCCUAUGGGUUGUAAACUGCUUUUAUCUGGGAAGAAAGUCGGCAUUUAUGCUGAUCUGACGGUACCAGAGGAAUAAGCACCGGCUAACUCCGUGCCAG
rnacentral:rRNA from 1 species